GGCGGACUUGCCCCCUUUCCGCUUCUUGGCUGGUUGGUCGGGGUGGCUUGACGCAGCUGGGCCUACCGAAGUUGGAGGUAAGCAUGGCCGCGUGCGAGGUGGAGCUGGCCUUGAAAUUGGACUUUUCCCUGCGGAGCCCCUUAAACAUUGCGCACCUCAAGCGUCCCGUGCUUGAGGUGGUCAACACAGGGGGGCAGAGGAUCCCUCUCACUGAAACCCGGGGCAGGGCUGCCGCUCUCUGCUUCCGGAUCCUGUCGUGAGAGACACGUGCUGGAGCUCCUGCUUGGUCCGGGAAGAGCCAUUUCGGUAUGUUCCAGUAAAAGCAAAAUCCUUGUCAUCUUACCCGCAAGGCCUUCCACAAAGUGUUCUGUCACUGAACAAGCUGGAAGCAAUAUUCCUUUAGGUAGAAGCAGAUGCCUGGGCGGUUAUCCAGAGUUUUGAGCAUCCCUCACCACUAGGAAGACCCAAGCAUCUGGAGUUUCUUGCACCCGGGUCCCACGCUUAAAUUAAAGCAGCAAUAUGGAAAGAUUCUUUAGUUUGGCAGGUACUAGUAAAAAGCAAGAACUUGUUGAGGAUGACAAAGAAGAAGUUGAUGAAGAAAGGAGCCGCAAAUACAGAAAACAAGAUGAAAGUUAUUUGUAUUUUGGUUUCAUUAAUGUGAACAAUGAAGAGCACCCACAGUGUGUUUUGUGUUUGAAAAUACUCCCUAUUGAAUGCAUGUUGCCUUGCAAAAUGAAACACCACUUAGAAAGUGUUUAUAAGAAUGAUGUGGGUAAACCAAUGGAAUAUUUCUCUAGAAAACUAAGUCAGGUGAAAGAAUCAGUAUUUAAUAAACAGGUUGCCGUCCUUUAGUAAAGCUCUUUUAGCAUCCUAUAAAUAACCUACCAGGUCGCAAAAUGUAAGAAACCCAUACAAUAGCAGAAGAACUCUAUUGAUAUGGUAUC